GGAGGGGUGCAAGCGUUAAUCGGAAUUACUGGGCGUAAAGCGCACGCAGGCGGUUUGUUAAGUCAGAUGUGAAAUCCCCGGGCUCAACCUGGGAACUGCAUCUGAUACUGGCAAGCUUGAGUCUCGUAGAGGGGGGUAGAAUUCCAGGUGUAGCGGUGAAAAUGCGUAGAGAUCUGGAGGAAUACCGGUGGCGAAGGCGGCCCCCUGGACGAAGACUGACGCUCAGGUGCGAAAGCGUGGGGAGCAAACAGGAUUAGAUACCCUGGUAGUCCACGCCGUAAACGAUGUCGACUUGGAGGUUGUGCCCUUGAGGCGUGGCUUCCGGAGCUAACGCGUUAAGUCGACCGCCUGGGGAGUACGGCCGCAAAGUUA
rnacentral:rRNA from 1 species